UACGAAGGGGGCUAGCGUUGUUCGGAAUCACUGGGCGUAAAGCGCACGUAGGCGGAUCUUUAAGUCAGGGGUGAAAUCCCGAGGCUCAACCUCGGAACUGUCUUUGAUACUGGGGAUCUCGAGUCCGGGAGAGGUGAGUGGAACUGCGAGUGUAGAGGUGAAAUUCGUAGAUAUUCGGCGGAACACCAGUGGCGAAGGCGAGUUCCUGGACAGUUACUGACACUGAGGCACGAAGGCCAGGGGAGCAAACGGG
rnacentral:rRNA from 1 species